GGGUUGGUUAAACCGGCGGUAUGUGAAGAAUUUUGAUAAAAUAUACUCGUAUGUUGAUAAAGCGGGUGAAAUGUUUACUUCCACACUCGUUUGAGUUGAAAAAGAAAUCAGAGCUACAACAGCGCCGCGCUAACUGAAGAUGGAGUUUCCGAAUUCCGACCUUGACUCAAUUUCAGAAACAAAAUUCUCUCCUCCUCUGAAAUUAUUGUCUUCAGUUGAAGCUUUGAUUCUUCCAGGAUGAUUUCAGAAACCCUAAGAUUUUCAGGUACGAGCGUAUUAAUUAUUUUGGAUAAGAAUCUUUCAAGCUGCUUUGAUAUCUUGGAGAUGGAGGUUUAUUACAAAGGUUGGAAGAAAUUAAAGCGCUCGGUAAAUUUAUAUGGAUUUGCAUAUGAUUAGUCGCAGUAUGAUAUUGCAGGUUAUGAUAAUUUCUUAUAAUCUAUCAGGAAGUGGAUAGAAGAGUCGAGGGUGUUUAUACAUGUAUUGGACAACACUAUAUCUUAUUGUCUUAAGAAAAAGAAUUUCAUAGAUUUUUAUGAUUAUCCAUCCGACGACUGGAAGGAUUCUGUUCAAUAACAUGGCUGGAUGCUCAUCCUUAUAUUGAAUCACUUGCUAAGGUUUGACUUUUGAGUAUCUCAAAUGAUCGACAAAUGAGGUUUCUUGUCUUGGUAGCUGAAUCCCGCGUCAAGGCUUCUUCUUUUUGUUUCUUACAUCCUGUUCUUGUGGAAGGUUAAAAUAUAAGUCUUCAUUGUUGGACCAGACUCAUCCAGGUUUUUUCCUUAGUUCUCUUACAUCUUCUUGUGAAGCAUAUAGCAUGUUGCCACUCAACAGUGUGGUUGGUAUAGAGAAACUUGGUUAAGGUUCGUUUUGGCAACUAUUAUGAACUUCUAUUGGUAUGAAUUUGGGAUAGUUCUGCAGUUAAGUCUUUGUGAAAUAGGUUGAGUGAACUUUUAGCUCUAAUUUUUUCUCUUUACUAUUUAUUGUAUCUUUUUCUGGUUCUUGUACAUUUAUCAGAAGCAACCAGUGAUGCGUAGGCUGGAUAGGUUUUGUCUAUUCCCGUAAGUCAUGUCUUUAAAGCGAUCCGUCACCCUUUACUAAGUUGGGUCAGAGUGAGAUUCCCAAGUUAGAGAUUUCUCAGGCAGGGAGUACGAUGCAGGAGCAUCCUCCCCUUGCUGACUGGAGUCUUCUCGAUUUACUGGACCCCUUAGCCAUGUAGUGAAGCGAUAAAUAUGACCUUUACAUCAGUCAUUGGCUUAUUAGCUUCCUUCACCAGUAUGCUUUUAUCUGUGUAUGUUAAGUUGGAACUUUUACUAUGUAACUCGUCAUCCAUAUACUCCGGCACUCUGCAGGUGCUAUUCUUUAUAAAAUUUUGUCUUUCAGCUCUUGGCACACUUGUAAAUUAUAGUUGAUAGAGUAACUCAUGGUGGCUUCUAUCAUUGCGUUGGUUUUUUCUUUUGUCAAACAUUUUAUAUCUAAGUUGAUUUCUUUCUGACGCAGGCCCCUCAGAUUACUGAAGAUAAUGCUCUCAGUGUUCCCAAAAGUUUUGUCACUUGCUCACGCAUUUUCUGUUCUCGAGAGUAAUGUUGAGGCCAAGAGGAGAUGCUGUAGAGGCAGGGUGUGAUGCAGAGGUUUGCAACUGCAUACUUAGCAAGGAGGAUUUCCAAAUUUUAUAGCAGGACGACCCCAGUUCGCUUAGGUAAUUAUGGACCUAGCUCUCAUCAAAAACCAACUUACUAAGGAAGCACCGACCGGAUCUUAGAAAUAUCAAAAGCCAAGGUUAUUCAGGUCCCUCAAGUUACUGAAGAUAAUGCAGUGUUGCCGAAAGUUGUCACUUGCUCAUGCAUUUUCUCUUCUUGUGGGUGCUCAGCUUACUUUCGCUUAGUGAUGCUUCCUAGAAUGAUCGAUUUCAACAAUACAGAUGCAAUAAUUGGUAGUAAGAUAAAACUUGCAUUAAUAAUUACCAUAUGUCUGGUUCACGAGUCUAAGCUAAUAUGAGGGAGUUCAUUGUUUUACCUUUCUGAAUCGACUCUUAAAAGGGGUUUGGAUGAUUUUAACUCUCCUUCUGUAAUCUAGCAUCUUUGCAACUAUCAUUCUAAAUUCGUCUUUCAUGUGCAUUGUUACUGAAGAAUGAUAAUGUUGAGGCCCAAAAAGAGAUUCUGAA